AAACAUGUUUCAUAUUAGCAAAUGAAGUGUGAGCCAAUCUUAAAUGCCAAAUAUAGUUCAUGUCAGCAUUAGCAACAUUAUUACAACUGGAAAAUUGCACAGUUGAGCUAAAAUGGUUGUUAUCAGAAACAGUAUCAUCAUUACAAACACUUGAAAUAGUAUGCUCAGAAGUGGAAGAGGGCUUGGAAGAGGCAGAAGAGGGAGACCAAGUGUACUUGUACAGACCAUUCUCCUCUUUACCAAGAUC
rnacentral:lncRNA from 1 species